AGCCUAUUGUAUCCGCGUUGAGAUUUUGUCAGCAAUCGGUCCACUAGGGUUGAUGCAACUUCCGAAAUAAAUGAAGUG
rnacentral:pre_miRNA from 1 species